UGUCUCUUGGGUAGCGAUUUUGGAGGGGAAUCCCAGAGCGAUUUGGUUUGAAGGGGACCUUCAAAGGCCAGCCUGUCUUCCGUGGGCAGGGACACCUUCCACUGUCCCCGGUUGCUCCGAGUCCCGUCCAGCCUGGCCUGGAACACUUGCAGGGAUGGGGCAGGCUCAGUUUCCCUGUGCAGUGUGCUCUAAUAUCUCUCCACUGGCAUCCUGAAAAAUGUUGUCAGUGUGUUUUGUUGGACGACGCUAGGCAGGACCUGGGUGAAAAGGACAUUCUCUGAGGUGCUGGGAGAAGGAGGACUCGUGCGGGCACCUCCAGAGACAGCGGGAACGGGAGCGUGCUGCGGAGAAGGAAAAUUCCAGGGGAAUUGCCACGAGAGGAAAUACCUCAGAGGGGCUUCCCUCCAGAUAAGCCCUGAAUAUGCCAGGAGGUUUCAGCCGGGAGAAAGGAGCUGUGGAAGAAAAGCAGCCUAAAAGUAGCCAGCGGGGAUCAUCAGGUUUUCCAGGCAAGAAGAACAAGGAGAGAGAUGAGGGAAUGGGGUUCCAAUUCCUAAUGAUUUGGUGGGUGCAGGAAUGAUUUGUGUGUGUUUUCCAGUCCCUUUUGAUUCCUGAGAUGAUUUUAAAAUGAUGGCUUUAGCAAUCAACUAAAUCGGAGAUGUUGUUUUUGAGAGGAAAUGGUGCCAAAUAAAUGCAGAGUUUUGGGUCA